rnacentral:rRNA from 1 species
AACGAACGCUGGCGGCAUGCCUAACACAUGCAAGUCGAACGAGACCUUCGGGUCUAGUGGCGCACGGGUGCGUAACACGUGGGAAUUUGCCUCGGGGUAUGGAAUAACUCAGGGAAACUUGAGCUAAUACCAUAUAAUGUCUUCGGACCAAAGAUUUAUCGCCCUGAGAUAAGCCCGCGUAGGAUUAGCUAGUUGGUGGGGUAAAGGCUCACCAAGGCGACGAUCCUUAGCUGGUCUGAGAGGAUGAUCAGCCACACUGGGACUGAGACACGGCCCAGACUCCUACGGGAGGCAGCAGUGGGGAAUAUUGGACAAUGGGCGAAAGCCUGAUCCAGCAAUGCCGCGUGAGUGAUGAAGGCCUCGGUUGUAAGCUCUUUACUUACGGUACGGAGUAAUAGA